rnacentral:rRNA from 1 species
UACGUAGGGCGCAAGCGUUGUCCGGAAUCAUUGGGCGUAAAGAGCUCGUAGGCGGCCUGUUGCGUCCGCUGUGAAAUCCCGGGGCUUAACCCCGGGCGUGCAGUGGAUACGGGCUGGCUGGAGGCAGGCAGGGGAGAACGGAAUUCCCGGUGUAGCGGUGAAAUGCGCAGAUAUCGGGAGGAACACCGGUGGCGAAGGCGGUUCUCUAGGCCUGUACUGACGCUGAGGAGCGAAAGCGUGGGGAGCGAACAGG